rnacentral:rRNA from 1 species
UCGAACGAUGAAGGUGGGAGCUUGCUCCUGCUGGAUCAGUGGCGAACGGGUGAGUAACACGUGAGUAACCUGCCCUUGACUCUGGGAUAAGCGUUGGAAACGACGUCUAAUACCGGAUACGAGCUUCAGCCGCAUGGCUAGGAGUUGGAAAGAAUUUCGGUCAAGGAUGGACUCGCGGCCUAUCAGCUUGUUGGUGAGGUAAUGGCUCACCAAGGCGACGACGGGUAGCCGGCCUGAGAGGGUGACCGGCCACACUGGGACUGAGACACGGCCCAGACUCCUACGGGAGGCAGCAGUGGGGAAUAUUGCACAAUGGGCGCAAGCCUGAUGCAGCAACGCCGCGUGAGGGACGACGGCCUUCGGGUUGUAAACCUCUUUUAGCAGGGAAGAAGCGAAAGUGACGGUACCUGCAGAAAAAGCACCGGCUAACUACGUGCCAGCAGCCGCGGUAAUACGUAGGGUGCAAGCGUUGUCCGGAAUUAUUGGGCGUAAAGAGCUCGUAGGCGGUUUGUCGCGUCUGCUGUGAAAACGCGAGGCUCAACCUCGCGCCUGCAGUGGGUACGGGCAGACUAGAGUGCGGUAGGGGAGAUUGGAAUUCCUGGUGUAGCGGUGGAAU